UACGUAGGGGGCAAGCGUUGUCCGGAAUCAUUGGGCGUAAGGCGCGUGUAGGCGGUCCGGUAAGUCCGCUGUAAAAGUCGGGGGCUCAACCCUCGGAUGCCGGUGGAUACUGUCGGGCUUGAGUACGGAAGAGGCGAGUGGAAUUCCUGGUGUAGCGGUGAAAUGCGCAGAUAUCAGGAAGAACACCAGUGGCGAAGGCGGCGAUCUGGGAAGAUACUGACGCUGAGGUGCGAAAGCGUGGGGAGCAAACAGG
rnacentral:rRNA from 1 species